UACGUAGGGGGCAAGCGUUGUCCGGAAUCAUUGGGCGUAAAGAGCUCGUAGGUGGUUUGUCGCGUUGUUCGUGAAAACCGGGGGCUUAACCCUCGGCGUGCGGGCGAUACGGGCAGACUUGAGUACUGCAGGGGAGACUGGAAUUCCUGGUGUAGCGGUGGAAUGCGCAGAUAUCAGGAAGAACACCGGUGGCGAAGGCGGCUCUCUGGGCCUUACCUGACGCUGAGGAGCGAAAGCGUGGGUAGCGAACAGG
rnacentral:rRNA from 1 species